GCCUGCGUGGUUCAGUCAGUUAAGCAUCUGACUACUGCUCAGGUCAUGAUCUCAUGGUUCAUGGGUUCGAACCCCAUGUCAGGCU
rnacentral:tRNA from 1 species